rnacentral:rRNA from 1 species
UACGUAGGGUGCGAGCGUUAAUCGGAAUUACUGGGCGUAAAGCGUGUGCAGGCGGUUCGUUAUGUCCGAUGUGAAAGCCCCGAGCUUAACUUGGGAAUGGCAUUGGAAACUGGCGGGCUGGAGUGUGGCAGAGGGGGGUGGAAUUCCACGUGUAGCAGUGAAAUGCGUAGAGAUGUGGAGGAACACCGAUGGCGAAGGCAGCCCCCUGGGCCAACACUGACGCUCAGGCACGAAAGCGUGGGGAGCAAACAGG